UGGGGCACUUGAUCAAGCCAUGGGAGCCAUUCUCUGCACUGAGGAUGUGAGGCUCUGACUCCUGAUGGUGAGCCUAGUUCUUUGAGGGCAGCUGUGCCUUUCUGAGCAAGGACACAGCCAGAGAGAGAGAGGAUACUGGCCACAAAAUACUGCCCAAGAACAAAAGGGCCUGACUCCUUAGAGUCCCUAGGCAGGCCUUCUGUGGAGGUCCGCAACCUCCUGCAACUGUCUGCACAUGUCACUGUGGCGAGAGGAUUUGUGACUCUCACAACUGCUCAGAGUACUCAGGACCUUCAUGUGGAGGCGCAUCUCUUCAGAGGCACUGAAUGACUUCUCAGAAACCCCAAGGCAGCAGGUAGAAGGGAUAAAGACAUUCUGAUAGUUAAUUUUAUGCAACAACUUGGGUAGGCCAUGUGCACUCCGAGUAAGGCAGAUGAUCCCCUGGGGAACGUGGGCCAUAUCUAGUCAGUGGAAGGCUUUAAAAGAAGACUGAGUUUCCCCAGAAGACAGGGUGCUACAGUAGACUGCCUUGGAUUUGAGCUGCAACACCAACUCUCCCUGGGCCUGCAGCCUGGACUUGCUAGUCUCCACGUUCACAUGACCAACUCCUCAAGAUUAAUUCCUCUAUUUACAUGUGCACACACACAUAAGUUAGUCACAAACAUAUGCACACACACUGUGAUUGUACUUCUCUGAGGAACCCUGACCAUCACACCAGUACUAAAGCUCUGCUACGUAAGUCAGCAUGGAGCAGGUGCAUGCAUCCCCUCACCUAUGGCCUGUGCUGUUCAUAGGAGAGAAAAAGGAAAAGCAUCAUCUGAAAAUCAUAGUUACACAAACUACUGACCUUCAAACUUGGGUUGAAAGAAGGGUGGAUUUAUAAGUAAAAAAUGGAUUCUGCUGUGGAAUAGCAGCUUCCCUCUUCCUCUAUCAUCUUCCAUGCCCAUCCCAUCUGGGUAAGGCCCUGAAAUCCAUGCCUGCCUCCUCACAGAAUCCUUCAGAGUAGCAGAGGCUGACAAGAGGACACUCUGCCACUGCCCCACAAAAGUGUCAAUCACUUUGUGUGUGCACGGGAACUCUGGGAAGACAUCCUUGCUAUCAGGCCAUCUGUUCCACUCUCAUGCCCCAUGGGCUCUGCACUCAGGCCCUGAGUGCCACCAGUGCAGAAAGGUCACAUGCUACACCCAGCCAAAGACACAGAGGGAACAGCAGUCCUUCAUCUGUGCAGGCACUCGGUGGUGCACGUGCUCCCCAAAGCACCGAGCAGCAGCAACACACAGGACACCCUGCCUGACUGGGGUGUGGUGGAAGGGAGAGAGGCCCUGAGACCACAGAGCGGUACACAGAUGUAUACAGGAGAAGUGACCAAGAGACAGCAUGCUGCAAUUACUAAGAAAACACAGGUGCAGCCAUGUGGCUACUGAUUCUGACCAUCCCACUUAACUAAAUUCUACCUCUCUGUCUAUCCGGCACAAAUGACAGGGACCGCCAGCAACAGUCUCCACUGAAGAACAAGGUGAAGACUGGCAUAUUCCUUUAAAUAUUUCUGUACUAUUUCAAUUUUUGUUCAGUGAGUAUUUACUAUCUUUUGAAAUUCAUAUUAACGAAGAUUUUUUUAAUAUAACACCUAUAGAACAUUUUGCUCAAGAGUUUACAAAAUCCUUUUUUUUGGGGGCGGGGGAUUGAACCCAGAUGCUCUACCACCUGGGUUUUAUUUUGAGACAGGAUCUUGCUAAGUUGCUGGGGUUGGCCUCAAAACUUGAGAUCCUCCUGCCUCAGCCUCCCAAGGUUACUGGGAUCAUGUGUAUGCACCACUGUACACUGCACCCAAACAGAUGGGUUAUUUCUAAUAAUUCUUACAACAAAGCCUGGGACAGGCAGGACAGAUCCCUUUACAACAAGAACAUGAAUGGUCAAGAAAUUUACCCAAAAUGGAAAAUGGCAGUUUAAAAUGAUAGAACACAGACCAGGACAGGUGCUGCAGCUCCAGAGCUAACACUCUCAAGUGCUGAAGAGGCAGAAGCCCAUGGAAAAGGUGGAGGCACGGACACCAAGCCAGGCUGGGUGGAGUCCAGCCUCACAUGCUAGGAAGCAAUUGGGUCUUUUGAGAAAGUGAACUUUCUGUUACUGUCACUCUAGGGGCUUAUGGCCAGUUUGCUGACUGGCUAUGGCAAUUGAGGGGAGCAUGGUUCAUUGGGUGAAGAUCAGUGCUUGUAGAUGAGCUACUACUUGAGUUUAUCUCACAGAAGUUUUCUCGUUCACAUGCCUGGAUCUUUUUGCCAUAAAGACGUUCACGCAAUUCACUGAUUCGCUUGUCCAUCAUGGCCACCUCCAUGUUGCGCUUAUUUAAGAGUUCCUUCUGCUGCUGGAGUUUUGAAUUCUGUUCCUGGUUAAGCUGGUUACGAAUCUGUAAAACAGAAAGCACGACUUUUAAGACUUGUAUUAAUGAAGAAGUCAAGUUCUCACUUCAGGGAGAAAAAGGAAAGAAAGAUAAGGCAGACUUAAGUUGGGAUGGUGUUUACAUAAACACACUGCCACCGAGUGCUGUGUCCUGUAGGUGUGGCAAGGCAAAGCCAGAGCAGAGCUGUUCUACAACAAAAAGAGAGCAGAUGUGUGGAACCACAGGUCCUCUUCAAAGUAGACACAGGGACCAGGGCCAAAAGCGACUCUACGAGAUUAGUGUGGAGCCCUGGGGACAAGCGCCCGAAGGCAGAAACUGCAGCAGUCCCCUCAGAACCCUCAAUGCUGCUCCUGUUCAAGGGCACAAAUGAGCCGCUUUACUAGGAGGCAGUGGAAGCUCACAAAAAUGACCUGAAGCACAAAAAAACGUACUUAUUCCAUUGUAGUGGGUUGCAACAAGUUGUUGUUGUUGUUGUUUUUUAAAUAACAGGAGAGAACAGAUAGCAUGAGCGUGCACCCCGCACUGGUACCUCUUCAGGUGCCCACAGGACUAGCACACAUACCUGCCUGUUUGCACCACAGAGGCAAAACUAGACUGCAGUCCAAAACUUAGAGGAGUAAAAGAAUGUUUAAGAACUUAACAGCAACCACAAGUCAUUUUACUUUCUCAAUACCUUCAUUUCACAAAACAAUAUAGUACUAUUCUUAGCAAGUGUUAAAAAAAAAAAUCACAGAACUUGUUUCUGGCUUGAAAAUUCACCUGCUGAAUGAUAACUUCUGAGAAACAGAAAUCUGAAGGUUACGAACUGAAUGUUGGUGGCCUCCUCCUCACACACUGAAGCCCUUCCCCCUGUGUGAUGGUGUCUGAAGGUGGGGCCUAUGGGUGGUGAGUGAUGAGGUUUGGAGGAGGUCAGGGGACAAGCACGCACAAUGUGUUGGACAUGUGUCCUUCUGAGAAGAGAAGAGAGUCAGGCACAGUAGUGCACAACUGUAAUCCCAACCACUGGGGAGGCUGAGGCAGGAUUCCAGGUUCUAGGUCAGCCCAAGUAACUGUUUCAAAGUAAAAUAAAAAGGUCUGGGUUCAAUACCCAGUACCACAAAAUAAAAAAAAAAUUUUUCCAAUUAAAAACAAGGAAAAGAAAAAGAGGAGGAAGAGGGGGAGGAGAGGAGAGACCAGCACUCACUCUCCACUGUGGGAGGACACAGCAAAAAUGCAGGCAUCAGGAGUGGGCUCUCACUAGGAACUUACUCUGCCAGCACCUUGAUCCUGGACUUCCAGCUGUAUGGUAUUUUGUUACAGCAGCUGAGCCUGAGAAGACAAGGAUCUAACAAAGGGAAUCCAGCUCAUCGGAAGGCAAUCUGCAGAGCCCUUUCAGAGUGUGAUCUCAUGCUGCAGACAUGGAGUGAAAGCAGCCAGACACAAAGCCUGCACGUCGCAUGAUUCUGAUGAACUUGGGAUUAACUAAGGGUCUCAGAUGUGCUGGCCAAGCUAUCUAUCACUGAGCUACACCCCAGUCCUUAUUUUAAGUAUUAUUACUUCCUUGUGGUGCCGGGAUUGAACCCAGGACCUCACACAUGCAAGAAUCUCAACCACAACUGCAGAAUCCAGUGAGCAACUGUGCCUGGCACGUCAUCAACCAGAUAGGUCUAGCACAGUGCAGCCUACCAGGCAACCUGUUCACCAGCUGUCUGCCUCAGGGCCCAGGGUGCCUGCUCGUCAAGGGUCAGAAGGUCUUGCUCUGAUGCCUCCCCACCACCAUGAUGCUAAGAAACAUCUGUUAGCACAGAAGGGAUCACAUGGAGAAAAAGACACUGUGUUAGCACCUGCCUGGGGGGCCUCAUCUGGCAAGUGUGACCCGUGCAGAGCAGCUAAACUCCAAUCUGAAAGACUCAUGAAGCUCACACAUCUUGAGCAGAGUUACCUUACCUACAAGUGUCACUUACCUUGGCAACCAACAUUUGCUGCUGAUUUUCAAUCUGCUGUUGCUGCCUAGCUGCCAUAUCUUGGAGCUCUGAGAGGGUAAGUUCAACACGUGGAUUCCCAACCUGCAGAGAAUGAAAGGUAUUCAUUGAUAUCGAUGUUCAUGUGCAAAAUCAUCUUCCUCUAGUGUCAGAAUUCACACACAUCCAGAUUUUAGAUAGGUUCCCUAGAAGUUAAGACAAUGCAAAUGAGUUUAUUUUCUCAUAAGAACUUUUCCUAAUUAUUGACUAAUUUUAUUAGGUAUGAAUAGCAAGUUUUAAAUUUUUUUCCUAAAUAACAUUUUUCCUAAUACAUGAACAUCAGACACUACAAUAAGGGGGGGGGUAAACAUCAAGAAAAUGUGUUUUAUAAGUAAAUUCUUUAGGAUCGAAGGAGGGGGUUAAUAAGUAUAUCUGAGCAGAUGGGGCUGUCAAAUAUUUAAGGACAUGUAACCAAAAAAGCAAAUGUACUGAUGAUACUCAAGGACAACUCUCAUCCUACUAUCACCUGAUUUUGAGAAAAGAAAUACAUAACAGGUUCUAAAAUACAAGUACUUCAAGGAGGAUAAGUUCGGCCUACAGGGAGAAGUGACACAGCAUCCGACAGAAUCAUGUAUGUGAAACGAAUACAAAAAGGUGAUACCUUGGAGUGACAGCUGGCCACACCCUCUCCUCUGUAGCAGGCUCUGAACUACCUGCUGUACGCCGGUGGACCCUUGAGGGUUCAUUUCACAGGUAAGGCAACACCCACAUUUCACAGGUAAGGAAAGAAGCAAAGGCAGACGCUCUCCACACAGCACACUCUCCCCACGUCCUUCUGUGUGUGCACUGCAUUGUGCCAGGUGUGUUUCAGGUACCAUGCCACAUGUUCUCCAAGACAGGCCUCUCUGCUGGGGCUUGAGGCCACUCAGUGAGGGGCACGCCAAAGGAGGCAGCUUACAAAACAGCAGAGCUCUUCUCUGACCAGACUGCCUUCCUCCGCCCCUUCAGUUCCAAUCACAGUGGCCACACUGACCCUCAAGACCCUUUGCUUUCCACCACCCCUUAAACCUCUCAUGAUUCUUAAGAUCAGUUCCAAUCCCUCCCUCUGGCUCCAUGUCUUCCCAACUUUUUAUGGUAUUUGAGCACAUUCUUUACUCCAGAACAAUGGAAUAAGGACUAGUCCAACGGUCUUACCUGGAGCUCCCAUUCUAUGUAUCUAAAUUAGCUCCUUGGGAAACAAUGUGAAGUUCCCCUCUCUUCAAAACUAGGUAUAGUUUUUUUUAUUGUUCUUUUUAGUUAUACAUUUACAGCACAAUGUAUUUUGACACAUCAUCAUACAUACGUGGAAUAUAACUUCCAAUUUCUGUGGCUGUACAUGAUGUGGAGUUAUGCUGGAUGUGUAUUCAUACAUCAACACAGGAAAGUUAUGUUCGAUUCACUCUAUUUGUCUUUUCCUAUUCCCUCACCCCUCCUCCCUUCCCCUCAAUCCCCUUAGUCUAAACCAGUGAACUUCUAUUCUCCCUCUUCCCCCACUGCUUAUUGUGAGUGAGCAUCCACAUAUCAGAGAAAACAUUAGGCCUUUGG